rnacentral:misc_RNA from 1 species
CUGUCUAGAACCCUCUUCUCUUCCCCUUAAACCCCUCGAGGGUUUUUAGUUUUCUUUGCAAUCUGGAUAGCGGUUGAUUGAUCGCCCAAAAUAUCUCUUGUAGCAACUGACUGCUACCCCCUUUUAUCUGUCUAGGGCUCGAUGGCUCCAGUUCUGAGCAGAAGCUUAGGUGCUUCUGCUUCUUUGGUCUCCCCUCCCUUUUCCACACCCUUCUCACGUAAACACCUUAACCUGAAGUCCUUUUGUCUAAGAAGUCCCUUUUUGCCACAGAAUAACGGUCUUAAAAGGGGGUUUUCCUGUACUGGCCUAAGUUGGAAACUUGAGAAACGAAAUAAUCGAAUUGCUGUCAGGUGCGAGGCGGCCGUCGCUGAGAAAGAGGCCGCUGAUUCUUCUGGCGAGAAAUUCGAGUAUCAAGCUGAGGUUAGUCGCCUAUUGGAUUUGAUAGUUCACAGUCUUUACAGCCACAAGGAAGUAUUCCUUAGAGAGCUUGUGAGCAAUGCAAGCGAUGCUUUAGAUAAGUUGAGGUUUUUAAGUGUGACUGAGCCAUCUUUGCUUGGAGAUGCUGGUGACUUGGAGAUUCGCAUAAAACCUGAUCCAGACAAUGGGACCGUCACCAUAACAGACACAGGCAUUGGAAUGACAAAAGAAGAGCUCAUUGACUGUCUUGGAACCAUUGCUCAGAGUGGCACUUCAAAAUUCCUUAAGGCUCUUAA